rfam:Triticum aestivum genome assembly, contig: Triticum_aestivum_CS42_TGACv1_scaffold_000047_1AL
CUAAUCCGGAGAUGACGUCAAAAAUCCUUGCUGGAUUAGAUCUUGAGUACAAUCUUGUUGUUUCUGCGCUUGCUUCUCGUGUGGAACCGAUCACGGUCCAAGAAUUUUAUAGCCAGCUCCUCAGUUUUGAUG